GAUGAACGCUGGCGGCGUGCCUAAUACAUGCAAGUCGAGCGAACAGACGAGGAGCUUGCUCCUCUGACGUUAGCGGCGGACGGGUGAGUAACACGUGGAUAACCUACCUAUAAGACUGGGAUAACUUCGGGAAACCGGAGCUAAUACCGGAUAAUAUAUUGAACCGCAUGGUUCAAUAGUGAAGGACGGUUUUGCUGUCACUUAUAGAUGGAUCCGCGCCGCAUUAGCUAGUUGGUAAGGUAACGGCUUACCAAGGCGACGAUGCGUAGCCGACCUGAGAGGGUGAUCGGCCACACUGGAACUGAGACACGGUCAAGACUCCUACGGGAGGCAGCAGUAGGGAAUCUUCCGCAAUGGGCGAAAGCCUGACGGAGCAACGCCGCGUGAGUGAUGAAGGUCUUCGGAUCGUAAAACUCUGUUAUUAGGGAAGAACAAAUGUGUAAGUAACUAUGCACGUCUUGACGGUACCUAAUCAGAAAGCCACGGCUAACUACGUG
rnacentral:rRNA from 1 species